GACGAACGCUGGCGGCGUGCCUAAUACAUGCAAGUCGAACGGAGCGGCGGACGGGUGAGUAAUGCCUAGGAAUCUGCCUGGUAGUGGGGGAUAACGUCCGGAAACGGGCGCUAAUACCGCAUACUAUCAGAUAAGCCUAGGUCGGAUUAGCUAGUUGGUGGGGUAACGGCCUACCAAGGCGACGAUCCGUAACUGGUCUGAGAGGAUGAUCAGCCACACUGGAACUGAGACACGGUCCAGACUCCUACGGGAGGCAGCAGUGGGGAAUAUUGGACAAUGGGCUCAAGCCUGAUCCAGCCAUACCGCGUGGGUGAAGAAGGCCUUCGGGUUGUAAAGCCCUUUUGUUGGGAAAGCGUUACCAACAGAAUAAGCACCGGCUAACUUCGUGCCAGCAGCCGCGGUAAUAC
rnacentral:rRNA from 1 species